rnacentral:rRNA from 1 species
AGUGAACGCUGGCGGUAGGCCUAACACAUGCCAGUCGAACGGCAGCACAGGAGAGCUUGCUCUCUAGGUGGCGAGUGGCGGACGGGUGAGGAAUACAUCGGAAUCUGCCCAGUCGUGGGGGAUAACGUAGGGAAACUUACGCUAAUACCGCAUACGACCUUCGGGUGAAAGAGGGGGAUCGCAAGACCUCUCGCGAUUGGAUGAGCCGAUGUCGGAUUAGCUAGUUAGCGGGGUAAUGGCCCACCAAGGCGACGAUCCGUAGCUGGUCUGAGAGGAUGAUCAGCCACACUGGAACUGAGACACGGUCCAGACUCCUACGGGAGGCAGCAGUGGGGAAUAUUGGGCAAUGGGCGCAAGCCUGAUCCAGCCAUACCGCGUGGGUGAAGAAGGCCUUCGGGUUGUAAAGCCCUUUUGUUGGGAAAGAAAUCUUUCAGGCUAAUACCCUGGGAGGAUGACGGUACCCAAAGAAUAAGCACCGGCUAACUUCGUG